rnacentral:rRNA from 1 species
CCUACGGGAGGCAGCAGUGGGGAAUAUUGGACAAUGGAGGAGACUCUGAUCCAGCAAUUCUGUGUGCACGAAGAAGGUUUUCGGAUUGUAAAGUGCUUUCAGUGGGGAAGAAGGAAGUGACGGUACCCACAGAAGAAGCGACGGCUAAAUACGUGCCAGCAGCCGCGGUAAUACGUAUGUCGCGAGCGUUAUCCGGAAUUAUUGGGCAUAAAGGGCAUCUAGGCGGACGAUCAAGUCAGGGGUGAAAACUUGCGGCUCAACUGUAAGCUUGCCUUUGAAACUGAUUGUCUAGAGUAUUGGAAAGGUGGGCGGAACUACACGAGUAGAGGUGAAAUUCGUAGAUAUGUGUAGGAAUGCCGAUGAUGAAGAUAGCUCACUGGACGAUAACUGACGCUGAAGUGCGAAAGCUAGGGGAGCGAACAGGAUUAGAUACCCCAGUAGUC